CACAUUUCAGAGAAAGACGUGUUCAGAGAAAGGAGUCCGCUGACGGCCAGAGAGGAGAGAGAGAGAGAGAGAAAGAGAGAGAGGUGACCAGAUCCCUGUGGAGCUGCCUCGAAGAAGGAUCCUAAUAUCACGUAUCAGUUAGAUGACCAAGUUAGGGCCUACAUGACCGCUGCAGCUCAGUGCCGGAGCUCAGAUCAAUGGAAUACUGUGGGGGAUAUAACGGACCACACCCACAUACUGAUUAGACCCUCUGAUUGGAUAUCACGUGGAUGACUUGACCACUACCAUGGCUUUCAUGCAAAUUGAUCAAGUGGGCUUUUGCCUCCUCUGACCAGCAGACAGUGACCUUUAAAGGAGAUGCCAGAAGACUCUGUAAGACAAUGUUACCCCUUCACCCUUUCACCAAAUAGGCCUGUACGCCUUUCCAUUUGCAAGCGUGUCGACCAAGAGUGAUGUUAAUGGAGGUGGAGAGGAACGAACACAUCAGAACGGCGGAGGCAAAAGAAGCAGCUGUGAGGAGCCUGGAAGGUCCCCCAACACUGGCCCUCACCUGUGUCACCUCUGCCUGUCAGUGCCAUCGAGGUGCGUCAGUCCUCUGCUUUGGCAUCUUUUCACCUGUGGCGUUGCGCUGUUUCUCGCCAGCUAGCACGCUUCUACCCUCUCCCACCCCUCCUGCCUCGUGUCCCUCAAGGCAUCUGCCACUCACCUGUCAGUUCUUUCAUCAACUCCUGGUUUCCUCCUACCUUCUUGCAACGGCUUCGGCGAAGGCGGGAAAGAAACCAUCGGAGCGAGAAAGGUGACCAUUUUGUCCCAGUUCCAGGUUUAGCAGCUGCAAAGGAUGACGCAUCAAGGAGGUGAUGACUGACAGCCACUUCACACUGAAGCAGGCUUCUGUAUGGAGGUACUAGAAUAGGGAGAAUUCACAGGUUACAUAUUUGAGGAAUGUCUGUAAUAGGUAACAUGUUUGUUUUUUAUGAUUGUACCCAUUAUGAUAGAACAAUAAGGUCAAGUACAUGAAGUCUCAAUUUCUGUUGUGAAUUAGGAUUAGCUGUCACCAUGUGUUAAGGGCAACUUUAUUAAAAUUAUUUGGAAAAGAA